UACGGGGGGAGCAAGCGUUGUCCGGAUUUACUGGGCGUAAAGGGCGCGUAGGCGGCCACCGCAAGUCGGUUGUGAAAUCUCCGGGCUUAACCCGGAACGGUCAAUCGAUACUGCGGGGCUAGAGUGCAGAAGGGGCAACUGGAAUUCUCGGUGUAGCGGUGAAAUGCGUAGAUAUCGAGAGGAACACCUGCGGCGAAGGCGGGUUGCUGGGCUGAUACUGACGCUGAUGCGCGAAAGCCAGGGGAGCGAACGGG
rnacentral:rRNA from 1 species